UUAAGUGACUAAGCGUACACGGUGGAUGCCUGGGCAGUCAGAGGCGAUGAAGGACGUACUAACUUGCGAUAAGCGCAGAUAAGGCAGUAAGAGCCGUUUGAGUCUGCGAUUUCCGAAUGGGGAAACCCAACUGCAUAAGCAGUUACUGUUAACUGAAUACAUAGGUUAACAGAGCAAACCGGGGGAACUGAAACAUCUAAGUACCCCGAGGAGAAGAAAUCAACCGAGAUUCCGGUAGUAGCGGCGAGCGAACCUGGAUUAGCCCUUAAGCACUCGGUGAAGUAGGUGAACAAGCUGGAAAGCUUGGCGAUACAGGGUGAUAGCCCCGUAACCGACGCUUCAUCGAGCGUGAAAUCGAGUAGGGCGGGACACGUGAUAUCCUGUCUGAAUAUGGGGGGACCAUCCUCCAAGGCUAAAUACUCCUGACUGACCGAUAGUGAACCAGUACCGUGAGGGAAAGGCGAAAAGAACCCCUGUGAGGGGAGUGAAAUAGAACCUGAAACCGUGUACGUACAAGCAGUAGGAGCACCUUCGUGGUGUGACUGCGUACCUUUUGUAUAAUGGGUCAGCGACUUAUAUUCAGUGGCAAGGUUAACCGUAUAGGGGAGCCGUAGCGAAAGCGAGUCUUAACUGGGCGCUCAGUCUCUGGAUAUAGACCCGAAACCGGGUGAUCUAGCCAUGAGCAGGUUGAAGGUUGAGUAACAUCAACUGGAGGACCGAACCGACUAAUGUUGAAAAAUUAGCGGAUGACUUGUGGCUAGGGGUGAAAGGCCAAUCAAACUCGGAGAUAGCUGGUUCUCCCCGAAAGCUAUUUAGGUAGCGCCUCGGACGAAUACUACUGGGGGUAGAGCACUGUUAAGGCUAGGGGGUCAUCCCGACUUACCAACCCUUUGCAAACUCCGAAUACCAGUAAGUACUAUCCGGGAGACACACGGCGGGUGCUAACGUCCGUCGUGGAGAGGGAAACAACCCAGACCGCAGCUAAGGUCCCAAAGUAUUGCUAAGUGGGAAACGAUGUGGGAAGGCUCAGACAGCUAGGAUGUUGGCUUAGAAGCAGCCAUCAUUUAAAGAAAGCGUAAUAGCUCACUAGUCGAGUCGGCCUGCGCGGAAGAUGUAACGGGGCUAAGCAAUACACCGAAGCUGCGGCAAUGUCUUUUAGAUAUUGGGUAGGGGAGCGUUCUGUAAGCCGUUGAAGGUGAAUCGUAAGGUUUGCUGGAGGUAUCAGAAGUGCGAAUGCUGACAUGAGUAACGACAAAGGGGGUGAAAAACCUCCUCGCCGGAAGACCAAGGGUUCCUGUCCAACGUUAAUCGGGGCAGGGUGAGUCGACCCCUAAGGUGAGGCCGAAAGGCGUAAUCGAUGGGAAACGGGUUAAUAUUCCCGUACUUCUGACUAUUGCGAUGGGGGGACGGAGAAGGCUAGGUGGGCCAGGCGACGGUUGUCCUGGUUCAAGUGCGUAGGCUUGAGGGUUAGGUAAAUCCGGCUCUCUCUAAGGCUGAGACACGACGUCGAGCUGCUACGGCAGUGAAGUCAUUGAUGCCAUGCUUCCAGGAAAAGCCUCUAAGCUUCAGAUAGUCAGGAAUCGUACCCCAAACCGACACAGGUGGUCGGGUAGAGAAUACCAAGGCGCUUGAGAGAACUCGGGUGAAGGAACUAGGCAAAAUGGUACCGUAACUUCGGGAGAAGGUACGCUCUUGAUGGUGAAGUCCCUCGCGGAUGGAGCUGACGAGAGUCGCAGAUACCAGGUGGCUGCAACUGUUUAUUAAAAACACAGCACUGUGCAAAAUCGCAAGAUGACGUAUACGGUGUGACGCCUGCCCGGUGCCGGAAGGUUAAUUGAUGGGGUUAGCGCAAGCGAAGCUCUUGAUCGAAGCCCCGGUAAACGGCGGCCGUAACUAUAACGGUCCUAAGGUAGCGAAAUUCCUUGUCGGGUAAGUUCCGACCUGCACGAAUGGCGUAAUGAUGGCCACGCUGUCUCCACCCGAGACUCAGUGAAAUUGAAAUCGCUGUGAAGAUGCAGUGUACCCGCGGCUAGACGGAAAGACCCCGUGAACCUUUACUACAGCUUGGCACUGAACAUUGAACCUACAUGUGUAGGAUAGGUGGGAGGCUAUGAAGACGUGACGCCAGUUGCGUUGGAGCCGUCCUUGAAAUACCACCCUUGUAUGUUUGAUGUUCUAACUUAGACCCAUUAUCUGGGUUGAGGACAGUGCCUGGUGGGUAGUUUGACUGGGGCGGUCUCCUCCCAAAGAGUAACGGAGGAGCACGAAGGUGGGCUAAUCACGGUUGGACAUCGUGAGGUUAGUGCAAUGGCAUAAGCCCGCUUAACUGCGAGAAUGACGGUUCGAGCAGGUGCGAAAGCAGGUCAUAGUGAUCCGGUGGUUCUGUAUGGAAGGGCCAUCGCUCAACGGAUAAAAGGUACUCCGGGGAUAACAGGCUGAUACCGCCCAAGAGUUCAUAUCGACGGCGGUGUUUGGCACCUCGAUGUCGGCUCAUCACAUCCUGGGGCUGAAGUCGGUCCCAAGGGUAUGGCUGUUCGCCAUUUAAAGUGGUACGCGAGCUGGGUUUAGAACGUCGUGAGACAGUUCGGUCCCUAUCUGCCGUGGGCGUUGGAAGAUUGAAGGGGGCUGCUCCUAGUACGAGAGGACCGGAGUGGACGAACCUCUGGUGUUCGGGUUGUGUCGCCAGACGCAUUGCCCGGUAGCUAAGUUCGGAAUUGAUAAGCGCUGAAAGCAUCUAAGCGCGAAGCGAGCCCUGAGAUGAGUCUUCCCUGAUACUUUAAGUAUCCUAAAGGGUUGUUCGAGACUAGAACGUUGAUAGGCAGGGUGUGUAAGCGUUGUGAGGCGUUGAGCUAACCUGUACUAAUUGCCCGUGAGGCUUAACCAU
rnacentral:rRNA from 1 species